UACGAAGGGGGCGAGCGUUGUUCGGAAUUACUGGGCGUAAAGGGCGCGCAGGCGGCUCUGCAAGUCAGAUGUGAAAGCCCCGGGCUUAACCUGGGAACUGCAUUUGAUACUCUAGAGCUUGAGUACGGGAGAGGAGAGUGGAAUUCCCAGUGUAGAGGUGAAAUUCGUAGAUAUUGGGAAGAACACCAGUGGCGAAGGCGGCUCACUGGCUCGUAUCUGACGCUCAGGCGCGAUAGCGUGGGGAGCAAACAGG
rnacentral:rRNA from 1 species